rnacentral:misc_RNA from 1 species
AGAAGUGACUGCCGCUGGAU